rnacentral:lncRNA from 1 species
AAUGUCCAAGGCCCUGAGAGUGAAUGCAAAGCUCUAACAACAUGCUCUCUCCAACUCCAUCUUCCAAUACAAGGAAUCAAGUAUCUUGUCUAUGCUGAAGAACUUACUGGUGUUCAUGGAAAGUGAUUGCUUUCAAGGAUGUGCUGUAUAGAAUGUGCACACUGCCUGGGAGGCUGCCUCCUUCCUCUGAUGCUGUUUGGUGUCCUGUCAAAUAUCCUGCUCUGCUUUCCCGUAAUGACCAUAGUGAAAUUUGAACAACAUAGUGAUGAAGUCACAUACUUUGGAGGAAUAAUCGGAUGUGGGAUAAUAAUGAUCUUUCCUGCUCUCACAUUUCUGACUGUGGGGGCAAAAAUAUUGAAAUAUCCUAAAUGUAAGUGCUGUUGACCAAGGUGUUUGAUGUUUAAGUCUAUAAUAUUUGCUGCACUGGGAAUUGCAGGAGGAUCAUAUGCAAUGGU